CAGCGUAGCUCAGUGGCAGAGCAGGGGACUCAUAAGCCCUUGGUCGCAGGUUCAAAUCCCGCCGCUGCC
rnacentral:tRNA from 1 species